UGCACCGGAGAUGAGCAGGGAAACAGCACUGAGUGGGGGAAAAGCCCCCACCGUGGAAGGAGUGAUAAAGAGAAAGGCAGGGACUUCAAAGCAGUUGGAAACAAGUGGGGUGUGAACUGGGGCCCAGCUCGUGCCCUGAGCGAGUGGUGGGGCUGAUGGCAACACAGGGCCAUAGCAGCAGCUGCAGCUCCUCAGUCCUCCUGCAGUCCCCCUGUCAGGAUAACUCUUCUCUCCCUCCAUCCAUUCAGGAGUUGGACUCCAGGAUCCUUACGGGUCCCUCACCCAUGACACUCCCCCAUACAGAACAGUCAAAGACCACAACAUCUGCUCCAUGAGGUGCAGCCCAGGAGCUAUUCCUCCCUGCGAGGCUGUGGGCAUUACUGCUGGCAUCAUCUGUCCCAUCACAAAGGGACAGCUUACAUCACCCCCCCGAGUAGCUGCAGAGAACCACGAAAGGAUGGGAGAUGAGACGGCUCCCAGGGUGAUUUGCUAUCAUGCCCUCUGAGAGCUGCUGAAACAUGGGAGCUGCAGGAAGCAGCAGUGAUGUAACCACCAUCUCGGUAGCAGCAGAGCAGGAGGGAUGGAGCAGAAGCCCUUUGCCAGGUGGGAUACACUGCACUCCUCAGCUUCCUGCUGCUUCCCACAGGCUUCGGUGCUGGCAUCCAUUCUCCAGCUCCCAGCCUGGAACAGGGCAGGU
rnacentral:lncRNA from 1 species